UACGAAGGGGGCUAGCGUUGUUCGGAAUUACUGGGCGUAAAGGGCGCGUAGGCGGUCUGAUAAGUUAGAUGUGAAAAUUCCCGGGCUUAACCUGGGCGCUGCAUUUAAUACUGUUGGGCUUGAAUUCAGGAGAGGAUAGCGGAAUUCCCAGUGUAGAGGUGAAAUUCGUAGAUAUUGGGAAGAACACCGGUGGCGAAGGCGGCUAUCUGGACUGACAUUGACGCUGAGGCGCGAAAGCGUGGGGAGCAAACAGG
rnacentral:rRNA from 1 species